UGAGCAAUCUGCCCUUCUCUUCGGAAUAAGCGUUGGAAACGACGUCUAAUGCCGAAUACGACCUCCUUUCGCAUGAUCGGAGGUGGAAAGCUCCGGCGGAGAAGGAUGAGCUCGCGGCCUAUCAGCUUGUUGGUGGGGUAACGCCUACCAAGGCGACGACGGGUAGCUGGUCUGAGAGGAUGGCCAGCCACAUUGGGACUGAGACACGGCCCAGACUCCUACGGGAGCAG
rnacentral:rRNA from 1 species